ensembl:lncRNA
UUGUUCCUGUCUCUGUGUUUGUUUGCACCAGAUAGGGCUGGUUAGGUUUUUCACGGUACGUUUAUUGUUUAUUUUAUUAUUAUUAUUAUUUUAUUUAUCAUUUUGGUCCUCCUCUCUUUCACCGGAAGAAAACCUUAACAUCAAGAAGGCAAUGAGCUCAGUUGGGUCUUUUUAAAAAUGGCAGGGGUAAAUAGCUUUUUUCACUCGAUCUGUAAAUGUAAAUAAAACACUAUAAAGAGUUUAUAUAAUGUGUCAUUACAUACUUAUUUAAAGGUUUAUGUCGAAUUUGAAUCGGGUUUUUUGGGCGGUGCUAAGGUGAUCUUCAGAAGUAAACAGCGGCUUUUGAGAGCUAUGAUAGCUUACAGUGAGGAUGCAAAAAGUGAUUAGGUAUUCCCCCUUACCCUGUUCCUGUCUUUUUCUUGUUUUUAAACGGUGAGAGAAGUGCUACACCUGGUGGAAAGAUGCUGUAAGACCGAAUUAGUUGCUUUAUUCGCGCUGCACGUUACGUCAUGACACGAUGUAACUUACAGCGUCGGAGGGUUCAGUUUUUUUCAACUUUUCUCCGAUACUAUAGAGCCAUUACCAUGUCAAUCAAUGCUUGAUUAGAAACAUAGUUCACACCCCAGUUGUUGAUGUCAACACAGUCACUACAGUCCCAUUAGUUUUCUUUGCAUCCUUGUUUGAAUGUCGCGGUUGCGCACAUUUGUACCGAAUGGGGUUAGCGUCCAUUAGUUGGUUAGCUUUAGCUAGCUAUGACAAUCGGUUUGUCAUGCCAGUACUCUAUGGGUUGUGAUUAUGGUUAAUUGGUUAGCAAGCUAGCUAGCUACAUCUCAAAACAAGACUCUACUUCGCCCGAUGAUUACAUGACUAAUCAAGUUAGCCAGGUGUGUCUGACGAUUACAGAUUUCUAUUGUAUAAUAAUGCUAAAAUAUUUGUAUCUGGAAUUUGUCUUUCAGCCUCAGUAGAACACACCUGACUAUCCUCCACCAGUCAUACAAGGAGAAUAGUCUAAUGCCUAUCAAAAAGAGAUCUGACCCAAGCAAGCACAGGUUACACAUGAAGCAUCAGGACUUGCAGCGAGUGGUGAACUUCAUCAACACCUAUGCAGAGGAUAAUGCAAUAGUAUUACCUGGACGCCAACCAGGACACAAACACUUUGGUCGGAAGCUGCUGCCAUGUCAUGUGACACAAACUGCAGUGUGGCAUCUCUACAAGGAAAUGAUGACAACACAUGAGGUAUGUGUAGUCGCGCUGUCUUCCUUCAAGAAUUUGUGGACCACCUGACUCCGUACUUUAGCCUAAUGUCACAGAUCAAGCAGUACCAGCACUUCAGGAGCAUGGUUUUGUUGUCGCCAAGGAGCGUUCAGACUCAGUUGGGACCAGGUUUCAGCUGCUCCCAGUCAUCAUGACUAUCUGCACUGCCUCUAUGCACAUUCACAUGACUUUCUCUUAACACACACAGCAUACGUUGCUGCUAUUAUAAAAAAUGCAUCCUGCUGCUCAGCCACUUUACUGCUUAUUGUAUGCAUAUAUGUAACUACCUUGUGUAUCACCAGUAUCUCUGACAUCGUUAUUGAUAUUGUUCUUGUACAUACUGUAUAGUUUGUUCUUUCUCUACUGGCAUUGACACUUAUUGUUAUUGGUUUUUAUAUAUUGACACUUUCUAUUUUUUAUAUUGCAAGUAACCAUUUGGUUGUACCGUUUACACUUUCUGUAGAGACCCAUCCACUUGGCAUUAUGUCGCUGGGGGUUAUAGAAUUUCUUUCACAUGACCCAUCAAGUUAGACAAGUGUGUCUGGGU